rnacentral:lncRNA from 1 species
GUAAGACCCGGUUAAUUAAUGGCUAAUUAACCCAUAAAUGAGAAUUUAUUCUAGAAAGCCAAAAAUAUUAUUUUUAUGGCUAAAUGUGAUAGAGGAAAUUGAGACGAGAAUUUCGGUACCAAUUUUAUAGAAAUCGGACCAAGAUUGGAGAAUGGACUGACUAUGCUUCUGUGCAUUCUCUGUAUGUGUGUUAUGUGCUGUUAGUAUAUCUACUUGAUAUAGUUGGCAUAAACGUUCAUGAUCAUGCAUUUGGGACUUUAAAGUACUAAACUUCCGAUAUUGAGACUGAUCAACUUAAUAUCGAUUGUUUGGUGUGUAUAGGAAUCAGAUGGCGCCUCGUGGACGCGGUAGAGGCCGUGGGAGAGGUCGUACUAAUGCUCGUGCGCCGGACACUAACCCUAAUGACCCGUUGAACUUUAUGACUGCGCUGGAGAAUAUGGCUGCUGCUAUGCAAGCCACUGCUGAGGCUCUUGGUCAACAGAUGAACAACCAUGGUAAUGACGGAGGUGGAGUUCAAGGCCCGAUGACNN